UAUAAGAGAGUAUUACUAUACAGGUACCUGUCUAAUGUAUAUGAGAGUAUUACUAUACAGGUACCUGUCUAAUGUGUAUGAGAGUAUUACUUUACAGGUACCUGUCUAAUGUAUAUGAGAGUAUUACUAUACAGGUACCUGUCUAAUGUAUAUGAGAGUAUUACUGUACAGGUACCUGUCUAAUGUAUAUGAGAGUAUUACUGUACAGGUACCUGUCUAAUGUAUAUGAGAG